rnacentral:rRNA from 1 species
GUCCACGCCCUAAACGAUGAAUACUUGGUGUUGGACCGUAAGGUUCAGUGCCGUAGGUAACCUGUUAAGUAUUCCACCUGGGGAGUACGCCCGCAAGGGUGAAACUCAAAGGAAUUGACGGGGGCCCGCACAAGCGGUGGAGCAUGUGGUUUAAUUCGAUGCAACGCGAAGAACCUUACCUGGGCUUGAACUGUUAGUGGUAGGACCCUGAAAGGGGAACGACCCGAAAGGGAGCUAGCAGAGGUGCUGCAUGGCUGUCGU